CCUACUGGUGGCAGCAGUGAGGAAUAUUGGUCAAUGGACGAGAGUCUGAACCAGCCCAGUAGCGUGAGUGAUGACUGCCCUAUGGGUUGUAAACUUCUUUUAUAUGGGAAUAAAACGUUCCACGUGUGGGCUUUUGUAUGUACCAUAUGAAUAAGGAUCGACUAACUCCGUGCCAGCAUCCGCGGUAAUACGGAGGAUCCGAGCGGUACCCGGAUUUAUUUGGUUUAAAGGGAGCCAAGGUGGAUUGUUAAGACAGUUGUGAAAGUGUGCGGCUCAACCGUAAAAGUGCAGUUGAAACUGGCAGUCUUGAGUACAGUAGAGGUGGGCAGAAUUCGUGGUGUAGCGGUGAAAUGCGUAGAGAUCACGAAGAACUCCGAUUGCGAAGGCAGUUCACUGGACUGCAACUGACACUGAGGCUCGAAAGUGUGGGUAUCAAACAGGAUUAGAUACCCCUGUAGUC
rnacentral:rRNA from 1 species